rnacentral:piRNA from 1 species
UCCUGUUGUUCCUUGAAGUGUUGCCCACAU